rnacentral:rRNA from 1 species
UACGUAGGGCCCGAGCGUUGUCCGGAAUUAUUGGGCGUAAAGGGCUCGUAGGCGGUUUGUCGCGUCGGGAGUGAAAACUCAGGGCUCAACCCUGAGCGUGCUUCCGAUACGGGCAGACUAGAGGUAUGCAGGGGAGAACGGAAUUCCUGGUGUAGCGGUGGAAUGCGCAGAUAUCAGGAGGAACACCGGUGGCGAAGGCGGUUCUCUGGGCAUUACCUGACGCUGAGGAGCGAAAGCAUGGGGAGCGAACAGG